rnacentral:rRNA from 1 species
GUCUACGGCAUACCACCCUGAACGCGCUCCGAUCUCGUCUGAUCGGACAGCUAAGCAGGGUCGGGCCGGUUAGGUACUUGGAUGGGAAGACCGCCUGGGAAUACCGGGUGCUGUAGGCU